rnacentral:rRNA from 1 species
CGCGUAGGCGGGGAGGUAAGUCGGGUGUGAAAUCCCUCGGCCCAACCGAGGAACUGCGCCCGAGACUGCUUCUCUUGAGUCCCGGAGAGGAAGAUGGAAUUCCCGGUGUAGCGGUGAAAUGUGUAGAGAUCGGGAGGAACACCGGUGGCGAAGGCGGUCUUCUGGACGGUGACUGACGCUGAGGCGCGAAAGCGUGGGGAGGCAAAACGG